rnacentral:rRNA from 1 species
CCAAUAGCGUAUAUUAAAGUUGCUGCAGUUAAAAAGCUCGUAGUUGAAUUUCGGGACUAAUAUGUCGGUCGUGCCUCGGUACGUACUGGUAUUUUUGGUUUCUCCCUUCUGACGAACCUUGAUGUCAUUAAUUUGGUGUCUUGGGAAAUCAGGACUGUUACUUUGAAAAAAUUAGAGUGUUUAAAGCAGGCUCACGCUUGAAUACAUUAGCAUGGAAUAAUGAAAUAGGACGUUUGAUUCUAUUUUGUUGGUUUCUAGGAUCGACGUAAUGAUUAAUAGGGAUAGUUGGGGGCAUUAGUAUUCAAUUGUCAGAGGUGAAAUUCUUGGAUUUAUUGAAGACUAACUACUGCGAAAGCAUUUGCCAAGGAUGUUUUCAUUAAUCAAGAACGAAAGUUAGGGGAUCGAAGACGAUCAGAUACCGUCGUAGUCUUAACCACAAACUAUGCCGACUAGGGAUCGGAUGAUGUUAAUUUUUUAAUGACUCAUUCGGCGCCUUACG